ensembl:rRNA 5S_rRNA 5S ribosomal RNA
CAAGCCAGAAACAUCAACCUGAAGCUCUCACCUGCACACCUGCUGAAGCUAAGCAGGGAUGAGCUGGUCAGUACCUGGAUGGGACACCUGCUGGGAAGACCAGGCUGCUGCUGGA